rnacentral:rRNA from 1 species
UACGGGGGGGGUAAGCGUUGUUCGGAAUUACUGGGCGUAAAGGGCUCGUAGGCGGCCAACUAAGUCAGACGUGAAAUCCCUCAGCUUAACUGGGGAACUGCGUCUGAUACUGGAUGGCUUGGAUUCGGGAGAGGAAUGCGGAAUUCCAGGUGUAGCGGUGAAAUGCGUAGAUAUCUGGAGGAACACCAAUGGCGAAGGCAGCUCGCUGGGACGGUACUGACGCUGAGACGCGAAAGCGUGGGGAGCAAACAGG